rnacentral:rRNA from 1 species
UACGUAGGGGCCAAGCGUUGUCCGGAUUUAUUGGGCGUAAAGAGCUCGUAGGCGGUUCGACAAGUCGGGUGUGAAAACUCCGGGCUCAACCCGGAGACGCCACCCGAUACUGUCGUGACUGGAGUCCGGUAGGGGAGUGGGGAAUUCCUGGUGUAGCGGUGAAAUGCGCAGAUAUCAGGAGGAACACCGGUGGCGAAGGCGCCACUCUGGGCCGGUACUGACGCUGAGGAGCGAAAGCGUGGGUAGCAAACAGG